UGAGGAAUAUUGGGCAAGUGGAGGCAACUCUGACCCAGCCAUGCCGCGUGCAGGAUGACUGCCCUAUGGGUUGUAAACUGCUUUUAUACAGGAAGAAACCAUUCUACGU
rnacentral:rRNA from 1 species